rnacentral:lncRNA from 1 species
UAACUCCACAACAGCCACCAAACACUUGUUCACCGCCAUUUGCUGCUGUCGUGAUUGCAGCUUUCGUCCGAUGCUACUACCGGCGCAGCUUUCGUCCGCUGCUACUACCGUCGCAGGUGCGCUUCGCCGCCAUUUGUAGAAGGGGACAACUCCACCAUGCUUUCUCCAUCUGAGUUUGCUGCCGGACGAACGAAAUAGAAGAGGAAGAAGUGGUGGAGCCACCUACUGCCGCCGCUGGGUGUGGAUCGCCAUACCCCUGUUCGUCAAUCACCACCGAGACCAAUUGCCUUUUCUCUUUUCCUUCUGUUCGGCCCUGUCGGAAACCUUUUCUUCCAACUGAUCGAACCCCGUUGCAUCCACAUCUUCAUCUUCUGUAAAACAAAAAGGGGAAAUAGAAGAAGAAGAGAGAGAAGUUACCUAUCCAAAAAAAAAAGCAAGAACAAAAAGAAAGAAACAGCGGUGGAAGUUGACCCAAAAGAAACAGGGAGAAAGAAGAAAAGAGCACGUGGACAAUAAACGACAGGGAAGACACGUAGAAAAUUUAAAAGCAAGUCAUGUACGAACAGAAGAAGAAUCAUAUUAAAAUAAAUGCAAGACAAAUAAAGGGAAGCAGAAGGGGAAUAAACGGCAAUUUAGAAUAAAUGAAACAAAGACAACAACAGGAAAUUAGAAUAAGGCCAGCCACAAGUGACAAUAGAGAAAUAAAUAAAGGGUCAAAAUUGCCAAAAGCUUAGGAAGUUAACUGUAGCUAAGGACAGAUAACUUUAAUAUAUAGUAUAAUAAUGGGUGGAAAUGGAAUUGACUAGACUUGUUGCCGGCUUUUCCGUCGUUGGAAAUACGCUUCCUUCCGCCUUCUGACCUGAUCAACCAAUGCACCGGCGGCGUCAACACGAAGAAGACCGUUUCCUCACUCACCGCGUCUGGGAAAAGAUCCACGACUGUCGUAUGUAUUUACCAUGCAUUUGUUUCCCAACAACCGUCUUCAAUGAAUCAACGGUCAACAACUGUAAUGUUAUUUAAUUUCUCUUUCUAUAAUAUUCUAGUAUAAAUCAUCUUCUCGUAUCUAAUAUUUAGUUAUAAAAAUAUAUUAUUGGAUAAAAGUUUAAUCUUAAUUUGUUUUUUUCUUGAAAUCAUCAAAUGUGAUUGUAUGUAUCACCAUUAAAAGCGUAGAUAA